GUUGAAGGUUGGGUAACACUAACUGGAGGACCGAACCGACUAAUGUUGAAAAAUUAGCGGAUGACUUGUGGCUGGGGGUGAAAGGCCAAUCAAACCGGGAGAUAGCUGGUUCUCCCCGAAAGCUAUUCAAAAAUGCACAUGCUGUGAGCUCGAUGAGUAGGGCGGGACACGUGGUAUCCUGUCUGAAUAUGGGGGGACCAUCCUCCAAGGCUAAAUACUCCUGACUGACCGAUAGUGAACCAGUACCGUGAGGG
rnacentral:rRNA from 1 species